GCCGUGGAAUUGCCGCCAGGAUCCUCCGUCCACACCGCCCUUCGCGCAGCCAGCUAGCCCAGCGUCCGCUGUGAGCAUGGGAGUGCAGGUGGAGACCAUCCCCCCAGGAGACAGGCGCACCUUCCCGAAGCGCGGCCAGACCUGCGUGGUGCACUACCCCGGGAUGCUUGAAGAUGGAAAGAAAUGUGAUUCCUCCCGGGACAGGAACAAGUCCUUUAAGUUUAUGCUAGGCAAGCAGGAGGUGAUCCGAGGCUGGAAAGAGCGGUUGCCCAGAUGAGUGUGGGUCAGAGAGCCAAAUUAACUAUAUCUCCAGACUAUGCCUAUGGUGCCACUGGGCACUCUGGCAUCAUCCCACCACACGCCACUCUCGCCUUUGAUGUGGAACUUCUAAAACUGGAAUGACAGGAAUGGCCUCCUCCCCGAGCUCCCUGUUCUUGGAUCUGCCAUGGAGGGAUCUGGUGCCUCCAACCGCGUGCACAGAAUCCACACGGAGCUCUUCCUGGUGUCUCCACACUCUGUUUAGACAUCUGCCCGACUGAAUGUGUCUGUCACUCCGCUUUGCUUCCCAUACCUCCCUCUCCUCCCCUUCUCCCCGUGCGUGUGUUUACCUAAACUACAUGCCAUGAACCUCAACUACUCAUUUUAUUUUGUUUUGUUUUGGGGUGAAGAUUCAGUUUCAGUCUUUUGGAUCUAGGUUUCCAGUUAAGCAUAGAAGUCAAGUAUUAGCAGUACAAGUGAUGGGUUAACUUUAGAGUAGGAAUUGGUGUUGGGGGGUGGGUUGCAAGAAUCUUUAUUUUAUUAUUUUUUUGGAUGAAAUUUUUAUCUAUUAUAUAUUAAACAUUCUUGCUGCUGCGCUGCAAAGCCAUAGCAGAUUUGAGGCGCUGUUGAGGGCUGAAUUAUUCUCCAAGUUGAGAGAUGUCCUUGGUUAAACUAAAAGCCCAACCCAAAACUGAAGUGGGAGGGGAGAGCCUUCACCUCCACCAGCCCCACCCUAUACUCCCGAGACCCUCUGCCUUCUGAAAGUGGAUCAUUUUCACUGCGAUGUUGGACACUACAGGUAUCUGUCCCUGGGCCAGCAGGGACCUCUGAAGCCUUCUUUGUGGCCUGGCUUUUUUUUUUUCAUUCUGUGGUUUUCUAAUGGACUUUCGGGGAUUUUGUAAUCUCAUAACUUUUCAAGCUCCACCACUUCCUAAAUUUUAAGAACUUUAAUUGAAAGUUUAAAUCAAAGAUGCUGUUUGUACACUUAACACCCAGUGAAAGCCCAGCCUUCAUGACAAAUCCUCGAAUGUUCUCUUAGGAAAAGGAUGCUGGUCAUUGCAGCUUCAGCAUCUCCUGUUUGUGAUGCUUGACUCCUCUGCUGAUUUCAGCGUUUCCUGGCUUCUCCUCCCUUGGCCCAUUCUCACCCCUUUGCUGUCCUGUGUAGUGAUUCGGUGAGAUAAAUUGUUGCUGCCCCCACGCCCACCCCGGUACCACAUAUGAGUUUCAAGUUUUAUUAUUGCAAUAAAAGUGCUUUAUGCUGGCUUUUCUAAAAAGAAAAAAAAAAAAAA